AUUUCGCUUAAUUUUUCGUAUGAAAAAGCGGGGGAACCAAACAGAAUCGUUUUUUUUUCGAUUUCAAGUGGUGAAUCAAGUCUAAUUUAUAGACAGUAGGGCCACUCUCUAGCCCGAACCCGACAGCUAACCUCGUCAGCGUGAAAAGGAGA
rnacentral:sRNA from 1 species